AGCAAAAGUUCAGUGUUACUCACGCAGAUCAAGUCUUUCUCCCUGGAUAGAAGCAUGACCACAAAACUACCACCUCAAGAGGAGUUUGAGAACUGGACAGCUUGUCAAGUUGCAGAUCUCUUAAGACAGAAUGCAACAGAAUAUGAGCUGAGCAGAUUCAAAACAAUGCACCAGCCAAAGCUUCAGAAGAUGGUGCAUGACAUCAAGAAAAAUGAAAGUGGGAUAAUAAACAAGUUCAAAAAGUAAGUUUGCAACACCAAUCCCUAGUUUUAUCAAUGUGGGGAAGUUUGGAUUAUGAGCAUAGAGGUGUGUGGUACUUUAGUGAUGGG
rnacentral:lncRNA from 1 species